rnacentral:rRNA from 1 species
CUACGGGCGGCUGCAGUGGGGAAUAUUGGACAAUGGGCGCAAGCCUGAUCCAGCCAUGCCGCGCGAGUGAAGAAGGCCUUAGGGUCGUAAAGCUCUUUCGCCAGAGAUGAUAAUGACAGCAUCUGGUAAAGAAACCCCGGCUAACUCCGUGCCAGCAGCCGCGGUAAUACGGAGGGGGUUAGCGUUGUUCAGAAUUACUGGGCGUAAAGCGCGCGUAGGCGGAUUAGUCAGUCAGAGGUGAAAUCCCAGGGCUCAACCCUGGAACUGCCUUUGAUACUGCUAGUCUUGAGUUCGAGAGAGGUGAGUGGAAUUCCGAGUGUAGAGGUGAAAUUCGUAGAUAUUCGGAGGAACACCAGUGGCGAAGGCGGCUCACUGGCUCGAUACUGACGCUGAGGUGCGAAAGUGUGGGGAGCAAACAGGAUUAGAUACCCCGGUAGUC